GGUUAUUGUUAAAUUGUUUAAAUUUAGAGUCAUUUGAAAGGUGAGAGGUAGUCAUAUUGAAAAUACUUACAAAAGUUUCUGAAUUUAGGUGUAAGAAUUAUAAUUAUACCUUACAGUUCAAAGUUUUCUAUACAUACAUGUACAGGUAUGAUGUUUUUGGUCUGUCUGUCUGGUUGUCCUUUUCUUGUCAUUGCAACUGCUCUUAAACCACACAACAGAAUUUCAUGAACUUUGUACAUUGUAGAUGAUAAGGACAUACAAUGUAGAUGUGCAUUAUAAGCAUGAAAUUAUGAUUCACUUUUUGGUCUAAGAGUUGUAAUGUGCUCCUUUGAACUUAGAAUUUGCUUAAAUACUCUUCUGCAACAUUUUGACAUUUUAACUCUCUGAAUC
rnacentral:lncRNA from 1 species